UACGGAGGGAGCUAGCGUUGUUCGGAAUUACUGGGCGUAAAGCGUGCGCAGGCGGUUUGCUAAGACAGGUGUGAAAUCCCCGGGCUUAACCUGGGAACUGCGCUUGUAACUGGCAAGCUAGAGUGUGGCAGAGGGGGGUGGAAUUCCACGUGUAGCAGUGAAAUGCGUAGAGAUGUGGAGGAACACCGAUGGCGAAGGCAGCCCCCUGGGCUAACACUGACGCUCAUGCACGAAAGCGUGGGGAGCAAACAGG
rnacentral:rRNA from 1 species